CGGCUUCACAAUACUGUGAUUAAAAGUACAAUCUGUUCUUAUUCUUAAGAAAUGAGAAACAGAAAACCUGUGGAGAAACCAAAGAGUGGAGUUGAAGAUAGGAACUCAGGUCUUCUGUUUCAUUUUAUAAUCAAGAUGGAGUUGUGCAGAGAUGAGGCUGAUAAAGAAUUUGUGUGGUCUCUGUGGAAACACCUGCAAGUGUCAAGUCCAGAUCUUAUGCAAGCUGUCGGCUUGGUUGUGGAAAGAGAAAAACAGAAAGCUGAAGUCAAGGACAGAAGAGUUUUAGAGCUUUUGGAAGCCAAAGACAGCAAAAUAGAAACACUAGAACAGAAACAAAAGGAGAAGGUGGAAGGAGAGGAGAAGUUAAAGAGUGUGAGACUCACAGAACAGCACGAGGAGAUAAACAACUUAAUGCAGAGAAAAAAUGCUGUGGAGGAGGAAAAUGCCUGUCUGAAGAAUGAAUUCAGUACCUUGAACCAGAAAUUUAAAGAUAAAAGCCAAGAACUUAAGGACACUGAGGAGUGUGCACAGAAGAAGGAAGAGCAAAACAGACUGGUUAUAAAAAACCUGGAGGAGGAAAAUAAGGGAUUAAAUACAUGCUGUGCUGACCUACUAAGUGACCUGGAGAAACUGAGGAAGCGGGAGGCACAAUGGAAAAUGGAAAAAUCUGGCAGUGAUGCCAUAAUAAAGAAUUUGGAAACUGAUUUAGCAGAGGCAAGAGAACAAAUAAAAGAGUUACACAGUAUAUGCGGUAACUUGUCAUCUCAGGUAGCUGUGAAACAGGAAGAACUCUUCCAGAAGAAUUGUGAUGUGAUCAAAGCUAAGAAGGAGUUACAGGAGCUGCAGAAUCUUUGUGGACAAAACACUGAAAAUACAGCACAGCAGGCUGAGCUGAUAAAGCAGGUUCAGGCUCUCAAUGCUAAUACACAAAAAGUAAUGAAAGACCAAGAAGAUACUCACACAGCUGAAAUAACAUUAUAUCAAAAACUUUAUAACGAGUUGAGUUUAUGUUUUGAAACUGUUAAAACAAGUGAAAUUCAACUGCAGCAGAGCUGUGCCUCUCUUCAGGAUCACUUACUUGAAAAAGAUAAAACAAUUUGUUUGUUGCAAGUCCAACUUCAGGAAGCACAUAAUGCUUCUAAUACAGUACAUCAGAAUUCUUCUCCAAAAUAUCAGGUGCAGGAACCACCUGUGAAACGUUCAAGGUCUCUGUCCCCAAAGAGCCCUUUUAGAGAGUCAGAGGAGCUAAGGAAGCUUAAAAUAGCUGAAAGGAAGAUUGAAAACUUAGAGAAGACACUACAGCUAAAGACUCGAGAAACUGAUGAGCUAAGAGCAGCCUAUGAAAAACACAAAGAAAGGCUGCAGAUGUUACAGACCAACUACAGAGCACUAAAAGAACAAUUAAAGCAGUGGGAAGAGGGUGAUACCAGGCUUGAAAAUAGUAAAAGCGGAUACCAGCAUGCAGACUCCUGUCAGCUUUGUCAAGAGGAUCCUGACAUGGUGUGGAAUGAACUGGCUUUUUUCAAAAGGGAACACAAAAAGCUGUUGACUGAAAAACUGAAUCUUGAAGAAGAAUUGGAUCAAAUGAAAAUACACCAAUCCGUGGAGCCACUUUUUAAACUUAGUGAAGAUGAUGGGGUCAAAAAUAAUACUCUGGUGAGGAAUAUGAGAGAAGUUUCAUAUCAGAUGUUACAGAAGAUGCAACAACUAGAAAGAAGAUUCAAUGCUAUUGAGGGGGAAUUAAGGAAACAGAAAGAAGUAAAUAAAGACUUAUCGAAUCAGAAAAUUUAUUUGAAAGAAUCUUUAAAAGUACAAAAGGAAGAUGCAGACACAAGAGAAAGAGAGCUGGAAAUGCUACUUAAGAGGAUUUGUGAAAUAAAAAAAGAAAAAUCAGAACUUCAGUUAGUGAUUGAUGAGAAGGAAAAAGAAGCUGCCUCUUUGAAGAGGCAAGUGGCAGAAGCUAACAGGUUGAGAAAUGAAAGUGAAGAUUUGCUGAGUCAAGUGCAAGAGCCGAAAUGCUUGCCGGAUAAAGCCAAAGCAGUGACAACCUCCGGGCAAUGUAAUUGCAAGAUAACAGGCACCAAGGUUAAAUUAAAAACAGCCAAGGAAAAGAGCUCUUUGGGACAUCAUGGAGCUUUUCUCAAACAGUCCAUCAAGGUUAUGAGUAAUGUAUUUGAGAAGUUCAGUAAGGACGGCUGGGAGGAUGUGAAUGAAAGCAGUGACUCUGAGAUACCAAAUUCUGAAAGUUUGGAAACGGUGAUUAUGAAGACAGUGCAAAACAUUGAUCCACUGCCAGACAGAAGUAAACAACAAGAAAAAAAGUCCUGCAACACUGUUCAUUUAGAAGGCAAAAACGAGCAAUAUAAUCAAAAGUGCCAUUCACAGAAUAAAGAACUAGAAAAGUUACAUUCCGAGAGGAGGAAGAUCUGCUAUCUUGUAACAUCACAUCCAUCGAUUCUAAGCAAAGUGAACAGAGCAAAAAGGAGAAAUAUCACCGUCCAGAAACCAGGCUACUCUGUUACUCUGCUGCAGGAAAGAAUUAAGUCAUUGCAGAAGCAGAUAGCUGUUUUACAGAAUGAAAAAAAGACUGCAGUGGCUUCUGUGAAGGAGGUGAAAGAAACCAAUGAAAAACUAACAAGUCAGCUACAUUUGGCUAAUCAGAGACUUCAAACUAGUAAACUGACCAUAGAGAUGUUGACCUCCAACCUGGCCAAGUGGCAACAGGAGAAGGAAGAUUUACAAGGAAAAUUAAAGUUGAGAGAACACCUGUCUCAAACUGCUGGCAAGAGUAAAGCCACACCAGCUCCUUCAAAGAACACUGAUUUAGAGAUGAAACAGCUGCAGUGCAAACUAAAGAAUUCGAAUAAUGAAAUCACUAAGCAAUCGACCACCAUUAAGUCCCUAAAAAACGAAGUUCAGGAAAAAGAAGAACGGAUUCGGGAACUACAAGCAAAAAUUUCUCGAUUGGAGAGGGACAUUACUAUGAAAAGACAUUUGAUAGAAGACCUAAAGUCUCAUCUGAAAGCAAGUCAAGAAAAUGAGAAAACCUCAAAUGAAACAUUGGAAAGUCUUGAGAGAAAGGUAAAGGCACUGGCUGAAGACUGUUCAGGCAAAAAAACUUCCAUUGACACACUGAAACAAAGACUUAAUGUAGCUACGAAAGAGAAGUCUCAGUAUGAGCAGAUGUAUCACAAGGCUAAAGAUGAGUUGGAGAAAAAGGAUCUCAAGCUUACCAAACUAGAGAGCAAAAUCAUUGAGACUGAAUGUGCUAUGACUGAACUUGAGACUGCUACAUCUUAUCAACUACAUAGCUUGGCUAAACAGAGUGCAGAGGCUUUGGAAAUGGUACAGAAGAAGUUGCUGCUCACAAGUGACAAAGUAGAAGAAUUCAAGACAUUUGUAAAGACUCUCAGCAGAGAGUUACAGCACAGCAUACAAGAGCUGAGAACAAAAAUCAAAAAGGCAAAAAAAGUGGGCAAGAUGAAAACAUGUAAAAACUGUCUUUCCCAAGAGUCUGUUCAGUUGGCAGCAUCUAUCCUUAAUGUUUCAACAACUGAUCUUGAGGAGAUACUAGAUGUAGAAGACGAGGAGGAAACAGCAAAGACAAAAAUGGAAUUUGAAAAAGAUAAAGAAUGGCUGCAGCGUAUACAGAAACUUACAGAAGCACAGGUGUCUACUCACUGCCUGUCCUCUGAUCACACCCACAUAUUGACCCGUGCACAAGCAGCUGCACACACUCACCACUGCAACUCAUCACCAGGUAUUUCAAGUACCUACACCUUAAAAAGCAGCACCAGCGUAGUCUAAACCAUAUUGUGGGCACCACUGGCAUUGAUAUCAGAUCAUCAGAAAGUAACCAUGAUUUUGUUCUCACUAUGAGAGUAAGAGCUUAGUCCUGUGCAUUGACAAUCCACUGCAGUAUAAAUCUGUGUUUUAUCUCAUACACACAAGCAAAACCAUGUUACAUCACUUGUUCUGAACUGAAAACGAGGAGAAAUUGGCUUGAUUACUCAGAAUAAGAAUACAGAUGGGCCCACACAUCUUUAUAUAAUCAUGUAUAUACAGUCAUCACAAAGCGGAAUAAGAACAAAGAAGUCAGGAACAACAAUGAAGUGAAGCAUUUCUCUAAUUUAUUUUUUUUUAACUUUGACUUUUAUUUUAUGGUGAAAUUAGGAGGCUUUGGUUAUUGGUCUGAGUUUCUAGUUUUAUUUCAGAUUAUUUUUUUGUGGUUCACUUACUUCAAUUUAAAUCAGCUCUGCAGUGCAUUUGAAUAGUUUUCUUGGGCAAGUGUAUUAUACUGAUGAUCCAUAUGGGGAGAUUUAAAAUAGUUGUAACCACUAAUUUAUGUACUCUAAAAUUUAAAUACCUUUAUUUUUAUGAUAGCACAUUUUAGAUUUUGUAAAGCAGAAGACAAGUAAUGCUACACUCUGCGAAUGGAGACACUAUGUCUCAUCAGAACAACAACGUUGCCUUGCAUUCAUUAUAAGUCUUUUCACGGGAAAAUAUGUGUAUAUUUAUACACUUGUGUUGAGGGAGACUCAGUCAUGUGGUGUAAGGUCGAUAAGUAUUACUAGUUUGUUUUUCACAGAAGGGAUAUCCAAAAGAAGCAAACUUAAGGUCAGAAUAAAUAGGUGAGAGAAACAGAAUUAACUGUCACCAUUUCUGACUUUUUAGGAUCAUGUUACCUUACAUAUAUCCAUACACCAAGGUAUCUGUCUAAUAAGUUGUGUAAGAAAUAUGCCUUUCAUUCAUAUGACUUUCUAGUAUCAAAGAAUGAAUCUGUAAAUCUGGAAAGAUGUAUAAAUAAAUAAAAUUCUUUAAAUACACAGGUAGUGGAUUUAAAGCUUGCGCUUUCAAAUGCUGUGAAUUUAUACAAGUCAAUUAAAUACUGCUUCUGUUAAAGCCUACCAUAAUGUACUGAUUUAGGAUCACUGCCCAUUCAGUUAGAUGGAUUGUGGCACAGAUAAUUAUAAAGCAUUUGAAAGAAGUACUAUUAUGUAUUAAAAUAUCUAACUAUCGUGGUAUAAACAAGUUUUGACUCUUUAGGUGUGCACUUAGCACUCACUGAACUUCCAAAGCCUUCCCCAAGCACAUGGCAGGUUUGGAAGCUGAGAUAAAUAGAGACAUCUUCAAAAGUUGUGAAGUUCUAGAGAAAAAUGUAAAGGAAAGCUUCCCUGUAUAAUUACAGAGCCAUCAUUAAAAGUAAAUCUUACAGGCUUCUAUUAAAGGUGAAGACUCUAAAGAUCAUCCAGUUCUGGGUGUCUGUAUAGAAAGAAAACCAGAUAGAACCAUACAGCACUUUCUCUGAAAACAACAAAUGUUGAAAGAAUGACAUAAUGUUCCACUUCCAAAUGCUCUUGAUUUAAAUGAGUCAUUUAAAUGGAAAGGGUUCUUGAAAUAUCACUUUGCUAUCACGUGGAAGCCACAGAGAGAAGUGAUCAGCAAUAAAAUUUAGCUAGAAUUAUAUGAGCCAGAGACAUCAAUAAGAAACCAUUCAUCUCAGGUACAACAUUAAGGAGGUGAAAUCUAUCAGAAAUGAAUGAAGUCAAGCUAGGCCAGAAGAAUUAGAGACUUUGAAGUAAUGAUAUAGUGUUCUCGUAGAAAACAUAUUUAGACAAAGAGAGAGAGCAAUUAGAGUGAACAGGAUGCUGGAAUCUGUGUUUUUAAAGCAUGAUAGCAAAUAAGUCUCACAGAAUGUCAGGUAAGAUUAUGUCUUAUAUUACGCUGAAUAGAUUUGUGCUCAGUGAAUUCGAUCCCUCUAUUCCCCCAAAAGUCAUCACAAUAGCACACAGGAGAAAACUGACAGGUGUAGAUGACUACUAGAAAAUUCUUACCAUAGGCAUAAGUUAUUUAUGACAGAUGGAGACAUGUCUGGCCAGAAGUACCAGCCCUUUAAAACUCCAUUUCCUGUAGAAAAGGGAAAUAAUGUGUAUUAUUGUCCUUUUUCUGUAACUACAAAGUGACUGUUCAGCAACAUACAGAAUUGCCAUUAUAGACACUUCACAAUGGAUGAUUGCUAUUGAUAAGAUUUUCCUUGCUACCAUUUUAGACUUUUUUUCUGACUUGUUAGUAAUUACAAAUAUCAGUAUAGAGAUUCAUAUCUGUAUAUCAGUUCACACAUUACAUCAGCAUUUGUAUUUUAUGUACUUUUAUGUCUGGGUUUUUUAUUUGUUUCUUUUGUAAUUUUUGUUUCAUAUAAAUAGGAAACAGGCAGUACUCCAUCUGGUGUAGGUACUAUACAAUUUUCUCUUUAAAAUGGAAUAAAAAAGUGAAAAAAUAAAAUCAGGGCAGCAACACUGAACUAGACAGGAAUUCUAGAUGAAAAAGUAUUGCAUUCAACUACAGUUGUGAAAAGCACAAGCAGGUGAUUGGCUUGUUUCACCAAAUGCUAUAUUUUACCAAAUUUUUUUCUGGUGGCCUUAUUAAGGUAAAAUUCUCUCUCCUUCUGAUAUGAGAAAAAGCUGUUAACUGCUGGUGUGAGGCUGAUCCCUCAGUCACCACUGGUCUCUCCAGGAGUUCAAGGAAGCUGACCGAGCUCUGUGAAGCUGAUAGAGACUUUUCGACAGUGAACGAAAACUGCCUUGCUCUCCUCUGUGGCACAGCACUGGCCACUCUGAGUGGUGCUGCCAUUACCAGUGUUCUAUACCACCUUUAAAAAUACUUCCCAGCAAACAGUGAACUGACACAUCAAGACUGUGAAAGAAAAGCCCUUAAGCAUUAAGGAGAUGACACUGAAAAAUAUACCAAAUAUCUUUCUUUUAAGGCAUCAGUUAUGCAAAUACAACUCUUAUACAGAGGAGUUAGAAAAGAGGGUUUCAUUUUUCUCUGUAGAUAUCACAGAAUCACAGAAUCACAGAAUAUUCAGAGUUGGAAGGGACCCACAAAAAUCGUCAAGUCAAACUCUUAGCCCUACACAGGACCAUCCCCAAGAGUCACACCAUGUGCUUGAGAGUAUCAUCCAAACACUUCUUGAACUCUGGAAGGCUUGGUGCUAUGACCACUUCCCUGAGGAGCCUGUUCCAGUGCCCAAACACCCUCUGGGUGAAGAACCUUUUUCUAAUAUCCAACCUAAACCUCCCCUGACACAACUUCAGGCCAUUCCCUUGGGUUCCGUCACUGGUCACCACAGAGAAGAGAUCACUGCCUGCCUCUCCUCUUCCCCUCAUGAGGAAGUCAUGACUGCAAUGAGGUCUUCCCUCAGUCUCCUCUUCUGCAGGCUACAAUGUUUUGGUAUCAUGUUUUAGAGAGGCAGACGUUUGUGGCAUAUUCCAAUUCAUGCACUUGGAGGUUUGAGGUUUUAUUUUGCUUUGAGUGUUUUUUUGUGGGUUUGUGUUUGGGGAUUUUUUUUUUUGGUUUUGUUUUAUUUUGGUGUUUUGGUGGUGGGGGUAGUUUGGGGGUUUGGGUCUUUGUUUGUUUGUUUAUUAUACAAGUUUUCAUGUGUGAGUCUAAGGCAAUUGACACAGCACUGAAAAUUAUACUGGUAGUUCUGUCUCAUCCUCCUGAGAGUAGUGAACAUACACUCAUAUACUACUAUUUCUGCAUGCCCUAGAGGUGACUGUAACCUUUUAUUGAUCAGCUGAUUGAAGAGAAAUGACAGAGAUGCUGGUACUGCAGUUUACAUCAUUAACAUGUUUCCUUUUGCCUCACACUUAAUGGAUGUCAUACUGGAAAAAUUAAAUGAGAAGAAGAAACUGGUAGAAGAGUACAGUUCUCUCAUGAAGCAAACUCUAUGAUAUUGCUAAGACC